GUGAGCCUUAAGGGAGGUGAGGAUUCCAAGUCUGGUUGUGUGGGUUUGAGCUCCAGGACAGCUCCCUUUAGUACAAAUAUUGCUUCCCCUCUACACCUCUCCACCCUUCUCCAGAGAUUCUAAUCCUCAGAGGCUUCUGACCUUGAUGUGUUGUCCAAAGGGUUGGGUUGGGGGGCUGAGGAGGAGUGAAGCUGUCUGUUCACCAGGUAACCUUGGACAAGCCACUGCCUCCCGGAGGCCUCACCCUCUUGCUCUAUUUCCACAGUUGAAGGGCCAGCUAGAGAUGGUCUCUCACAGCCACAAAAUUAGGUCCCUUCCAUACCACAUCCUCAAUCUCACCAAGCCUGGGCUCCUUCCUGACUCUCACCCGUCCUACUCUUGCCAUCCAUUUCUCUCUCUCUGGUU
rnacentral:lncRNA from 1 species